rnacentral:rRNA from 1 species
AUUGAACGCUGGCGGCAGGCCUAACACAUGCAAGUCGAGCGGAUGAAGGGAGCUUGCUCCUGGAUUCAGCGGCGGACGGGUGAGUAAUGCCUAGGAAUCUGCCUGGUAGUGGGGGAUAACGUCCGGAAACGGGCGCUAAUACCGCAUACGUCCUGAGGGAGAAAGUGUGGGAUCUUCGGACCUCACGCUAUCAGAUGAGCCUAGGUCGGAUUAGCUAGUUGGUGGGGUAAAGGCCUACCAAGGCGACGAUCCGUAACUGGUCUGAGAGGAUGAUCAGUCACACUGGAACUGAGACACGGUCCAGACUCCUACGGGAGGCAGCAGUGGGGAAUAUUGGACAAAGGGCGAAAGCCUGAUCCAGCCAUGCCGCGUGUGUGAAGAAGGUCUUCGGAUUGUAAAGCACUUUAAGUUGGGAGGAAGGGCAGUAAGUUAAUACCUUGCUGUUUUGACGUUACCAACAGAAUAAGCACCGGCUAACUUCGUG